AGUCACAUCCCCAAAUAUAUAUUACACGGCUGAAAUUAGGAAAGACAAAAUCAAACACUCUUCUCACCUGCCAAAUGAAAAUUAAAACCCUAAAAUCCACCAUUUUUUUUUAUUCUUGCCAGCGCCAAAAUCCGACCCGCCACCUCGACCCGAGGUCUCAAUAUCAUGCGAGGACCCGGUUGUUGUACCGGUUGUUGUACAACCCAAAAGUGGCGCUGCACCGGAAGAAAAGUGGAAUUCCGAAGCUGGAAUCUGAGGUUAGGUGAAAUGGCGAUAAAAGGCAAUUCUUGGAGCUUUAAAGAACCAAGAAGUUAGAGGGAGAUGAAUCAAGGGUGAAUGAAUGUGCAAAUAUGCUAAGGAGACAAGGAAAAAAGCCAAAGAAACAAUGCUUCAAUGCUGCAGAAAAAAGAAUUUUUACAGGUCAACUAGCACGUAUGUGCCACACAGCAAAUACAAGCAGCGAGGCAAUGCAUCGUAGAAUGUAGAGUUAAUUUUGAUCCGAAAAAGCCCAAUUAAGCCUAACUCAAGACAGACAUUAUGAGGACAUAAAUGCAACAUUUUAAAGGAUUUUGAAACACACUUUGACGCAAACAAAUCUAGAGAAUGAAGUAAUUGAAGGAAGAGACAGUGAGAAGGAAGAUAGAUUCAACUCGAAAGACAGUUUUUCCUCUUUUCCUUUCAUGUUUAUGAUAAUGAACUUUAGAUUUCUUUAUUUUCCAAUUAUGAACUAAUUCAAUUAUCUCGAGGAUUGAUGUAGCCUAUACUUGAUACUAUGUUUUGAUUUUCAAUGUAUAUUUCUUUGGGGUUUUCUUCUAA